CUAGGAUUAGAGACGUGAGCCACCGUAUCCUGCCUAAAAAGUAGUUCUGAUUGGCAGAACUUUGCAUAACAAAUGUUUCCUUCUUUACUUCCUGGGAUUCUCACAGUUCUUUGCACUUUCAACCUUAGAGUAGGAUAACAUCUGAUCAAUUUAAUUGUUGAUGAUCCAGAACAUCUCCCAGUAAAAAUUCUUUUUGCUUUGAGCAAAGGAUGAAUAAAUUUGGGAAGGAUUGAAAGUAUCCCUUAAAAGGUGGCUGCACAAUGGCAAAGCAAACAACUGGAAAUUGAAAACUGGUUAUUUGCUUUAUUUUAGGUGAAAAAAAAGGGAAAAAUCUCAUAAACUCAUUAUUUUAGUUUUUAAAAUGAACAAAAUGAAUUACUUGUUGAGAUACAUACCAAACCUAGAUUGCAAAUGCAUGUCUUAUGGACAAAUUAUUCUUACUUUAUACCUCAGAAAAAUAGUUUCAUAUCCAUUUUUUCCUGGUGCAAAUAGAUGAGUUCUUGCUAUUUGCAUCAUUUGGAAAACAAAACCAUCAGAAUUACAUUCUUUUUUUGCUCCCCAAGGACAUAGUUUUAUCAUUAAAUUUAGGAAGUAGAUAAAUGCUGAAAUAACAUAAACAGAUUCCACUGUAUAUAAAUAAGCCAAUUUAAAGUAAUUUAGUAAGGGAAAAGUUCUAUUGCUUUCUUAAUUUUUUGUCUGAACACUUUGCUUCAUUGUAACAUGUACUGGGCCUGCAUGUUUUAAUGUUCUUUUUUCUCUUUACAUCCCCCUUUGGGGUUUCAGUCCACUAAAUUCAAAAAUAAUUGCCUUUCGGGGAUUUAUUGGUAUUUAAAAGCGGAUCCCAACAUCUUACAAAUUGCAGUUGUAGCCUGUGUAAGGUGAUGGUCAAUAAAUAAGGGAGAAUAAGAACACUAAAGCUAGAUUGUGAGAGAAGAAAAGGAAAAAAGCUUACUACAUUCUUUCUAAACAAACAAAAAAGGCAUAAUUGGAAAAAUUCAUUUUUAUGUUUCCUUACAUUAGAUGGGACCACUGAGUGAAACAUUCACUGAUGAAUUACUCCUGUAAUCUGUGUAGGAAAAACAGCUACUGGCAAAUUAAAGAGUCCUGGAACAGAGCCAUGAGAACUAAAUGGCUAAAAAUGAAAACAGGCAAACAUUUGAGAGUAUUCUACAGAAUACAGAUCUUUCAGCACCUCCCCCUUUUCACUGGUUAAUUCAUCGUCAUGGAAACAGAAUUUAUCAAAAUGUUCUUGCUCACUCCUAGUGACCCAGUGAGUAGACUUAGAGAGCUGGUGAAAGGUAACUCAGGCUGAAGCAAUUUUUACAAAUGAUAUGCUGCAGUUCAUACAUUGGUGAAUUUUGAAUGGUGCCAUUGUGUCGAUUGAACAUGUUUCCAAAUCUCAAAGGGUUCACUUUUUUGUUUGUUUUUUAAAAAGCUGCCAGGCAGAGAAACGAGAAACCUUUGCAAGUGAGUGAGCACAGAAACAUGCUUAAGUGAAACUCAGUGGAGGACAUGAGUACACUUACAGACCAAAGACGCCUAUCCCUCCUGUGCUUGGGCAUGAAAUUUCCAGAAUCAGAAGAAAAGAAUCUCUUACAGCAUUUAGCAGAGGAGAACAUUGGUAUAUGGAAUGGCGAGUUUAUGUUUUUAAACAGUGCCUAGCAUAGUACCUGAUACAUGGU